CACGAACGCUGGCGGCAUGCCUAACACAUGCAAGUCGAACGAGACCUUCGGGUCUAGUGGCGCACGGGUGCGUAACGCGUGGGAACCUGCCCUUAGGUUCGGCAUAACUCCCCGAAAGGGGUGCUAAUACAGGAUAAUGUCUUCGGACCAAAGAUUUAUCGCCUUUGGAUGGGCCUGCGUUGGAUUAGCUAGUUGGUAGGGUAAAAGCCUACCAAGGCGACGAUCCAUAGCUGGUCUGAGAGGAUGAUCAGCCACACUGGGACUGAGACACGGCCCAGACUCCUACGGGAGGCAGCAGUGGGGAAUAUUGGACAAUGGGCGAAAGCCUGAUCCAGCAAUGCCGCGUGAGUGAUGAAGGCCUUAGGGUUGUAAAGCUCUUUUACCCGGGAUGAUAAUGACAGUACCGGGAGAAUAAGCUCCGGCUAACUCCGUG
rnacentral:rRNA from 1 species